rnacentral:rRNA from 1 species
UAAUACGAAGGGGGCUAGCGUUGUUCGGAUUUACUGGGCGUAAAGCGCGUGUAGGCGGGUCGUUAAGUUGGGGGUGAAAUCCCGGAGCUCAACUCCGGAACUGCCUUCAAAACUGGCGACCUGGACUCAAGCAGAGGCAAGUGGAAUUGCGAGUGUAGAGGUGAAAUUCGUAGAUAUUCGCAGGAACACCAGUGGCGAAGGCGACUUGCUGGGCUUGUAGUGACGCUGAGACGCGAAAGCGUGGGGAGCAAACAGG